GUGUCAACACCACCUUUGGAACAAGCAUAGGCGACUCCACCGGGUAACAAACCUCGGUGGAGACCCGCGAUGGACGAUACGUUUAUUACUGAGCCGCCGCGUUUUGCGUCACGCAUUAGACUGCAGACGUAUUUGGAUACUAACCAAGGUCCGGAUAAGUUGGUUCUGAAGACUGUGUUCCACUCGUCUUCAGUCAGAUCUAAACUCGUCUUGACAUUGCCUCUGAUUCCAGCGUUGUUGAUCAACACAUCUAUCUUUCCGAAGAUGUCCCAAGCUUGUUUGACCGCUUUUUGAAUGGUGGCUGCGUCUGAUGAAACGUCUAGCUCGAGCGGUGCGGCUAAUUGGAUCCCGGUUGAACUUAAGCUGUUGAUUUCAGAGCAAAGAGAUUCGAGACGGUCGACACGGCGAGCUGCUGCGAUAAUCUUACAGCCAGCUUUGCCCAGAUCAAGACAGACUUCUCUUCCUAUACCAGAAGAAGCUCCGGUCAGAAGAACCACUUUGUCUUUAAGCUCGCACCAUGGCUCUAGUUGCUUCAACAUCUGCUUCUCUCCCAUUAAAAAGAAAACAAACAAAUUUCUUAUAAGAAAAGGCAGUAAAUAUAUGAAUGACUAUUUCCAUGAACUAUAUAUAUGAUGAAAAAGAUAACCCAAAUAAUUCAAGAUAACAUGAGAUCUUAUCAAGUUAUAGUAUCAGUAUGGGUAUGUAUUCAAAACCUUAUCUUAUAAAUCUGCAUUGAAAAGGAAAGAGUGUGAAGGGAGUAAUGAAAAAUGAGAGAGAGAAGAUAAUAGAUCUCACCGUGGUUUGAUGAUUGCUCAUAUUACUUUCUCUGGUGUGUGUUCAGCGAAGAAGGAGAAGCCCGUAACACAUACUUAAAGCCCUUCUUCUCCGUUUUAAAUUAAAACGACAAUCUAAGUUAUUUAACGUGGCUAUCAAGAUCUGUAACUGAUUUUGUGUACUUACCAAACUAAUUAGGUUUUCUGAAUCUAUUAUAUCCAAUUCAUUUUUUUUUUCUUGUCAACUAUAUUAGAUCUGAAUGCAAAAAAGAUCUGUUCUCACUCUUUUUUGGAAACAAGCUAAAAUAAUAGUACUAUAAAUGACUUUUGUAAUCACGAGUACCACAUGGACGACGACAUAAUAAUGACAUUAUUUGAUAGUAGUAUGAGUGGAAAAAAAAAGAAGAGAAAUUGCAUCCAAUAACAUCUAAAACACUUUAAUUGACCAAAUAACCAUAAAGAAACUAUGGCUAUGAUAUAAUAAUAUAAUCUAUAUUAUCAAGCAAUUAGACGAAAUUUCUCUUUUCCAUUUUAUCAUACCCACUCGCGAUUGAUAUGAUUAUAGUAGAAAAAAUUUCAGGUCAAAACUCAGUUUGUGGAAUGUAAAUGGACUUCGGCAGAAUAAAAACGCACCGUGGUGGUGAUCUAUCUUUCGCUCUCUCGUUAACGGCGAUUAAAAUUAAAUGAAGAAUUGAAGAUCGUUCUACUGUUUUGCUGACAAAUCUGCGGAAUGCUUUUUUUUUUUAAACUGAUUUAUGCAUUAAAUUAAAAUAGAGCAGUAAAAGUGAUUACAUGAUCAACUUUAGAAUAAAACCCGUAAGUAUUGAAAUCUGCGGAAUGCUAACCUCUUUUAAAGUUGUUUUUUUGUUUGUUUGUAGUACUCAUGACUUAGGGAUGAAAAAUCAAAUAUCUGAUUGAGAAUGAUGAUAAACAGUGAUUUGUAUUGCAUUGUCUAUUCUAUAUUUAUAUAACAAAUAUAAUAGAAUUUAUAAUUUAUAGUCGUACAAACAAUUGUAUGUCAUUGAUUUGAAUAAAUUCAUCUAGAUUUUAAUGACCAAAACUAUGAUUUUCUUUCAUAUUUUCUUUUUUUUGUUCUUCUCAAACAAACAAUAUAUGAUUGAUUAUAAUAUAUUAUUAAUAUCAUAUACUAUUUUAUGCUAAAAGUAUAAUAUACUAUAUUACAAUACUGGGCAAUUCUCUCAAAUAUCUUUUUUUUUAAGUUUUUGUCACAAAAAAUAAUUUUAAAAGUGACCAAAAUAACCCUUUUUAUUUUGAAAAUUUUAAUAUUUAUUUUUGUUUUUAAAAAUUUGAAACCAUAUCUCCAAAACUCUGCCCAUUAACUCUAAACUCUAAGUUUAAAUUAGUUAAUCCUAGAAUAAAAAUUCAUUUUUAUUAUUUAAUAAAAUUUAUCUUGGUCAUUUUUUUCAUUCACAACUAUUUUUGUGACAAAAACUUUAUAUUAGAAAAUUUCUGUACAAUAUUUCUUUGUCUUAUUCUUCUAUUUGUUUUCUUCACUAUCCCCCCCCCCUUUUCUGUUGUUUGUUUUGAUUUUCCUCACUUCUUUCUUUUGUUCUUUUUUCACCCUCUUUUCUUCUUUCUUUUCCAUCUCUUUCUUAGCGUAUUUCUAGUUCUUUCUUUUCCAUCUCUUUCUUAAUGUAUUUCUAGUUCUUUGGCUUUAUUCUUUUCUUCGUCCGCUUCCUCUCUUCCUCCUCCACUUACGUCUUCUAUUACAUUUCCUCUGUUUUUUCGAAAUUCUUUUAUAUAAUAUACUAUUCAUUCCGUUUCUAAAAGAUCUGUACGUAUUUCAAAAUUUUCACAUUUUGUAAUAAAACAUAUUUAAAUUUAGCUAUAUAUACAUAAUUUUUUGUAAUUAUAUAUUUUCUAUAUUUUUAAACCAAUAAAUUUUUAAAAAUGCAAUUAAUGUUCUUGAAGUUCACAAUUUUUUAUUAUUAGUUGACAAAAAUUACAUUGAAAAAUAUAAAAUAUGUAUCUAUUAGUGAUGAACCUAACUCACACCAAAAUCUAGCUUAAGAGUGGAAGAUUGUCCAAACACAUAUAUAUUGCCCAAGGAAACUAAUCCCACACGAUGUGGAACAUCUAAUAGUAUUUUUUUUAAACAAAAUUUUUCUCUAGAAUAUAGAUUUUUAGAAACGGAUGGAGUGUAUAUUUAUAAUUGUAAUAAUAGAAUAGAUAUGCGAUUUCAUGUUAAUAUAAAAAAGAAUAUAUUUGAUAUUAAUUGAUUGGUCUAUAAUUUUAUGAAGAGAAAGUAUGUAUGUGAAGAAAAUGUGAAUGUAUUCACUUAUUAGUACAUAUUAGUAUUACACACAAGAUUUGAGAGUCAAAGAGAAGAAAAAAUGGGCAAGCCAGGCACUGUAGCUCCAGAGUCAAGGAUGUAUGUAUUCCCUGGAAACAUAUCGAUACGAGUCAUGAAUGAGAUAGCGAACCAGCGAGGUAAGCCCAGGAUCCACGGUCUGUUGCACCUUUAACGGGAUAGUCCUCUCGGUCACGUUCUUGAGCCACUCUUUUUGCAUAAGACCUUGCGUGAUCUCUGACUUGAGAAGCCCUGGUGCGAUAGAGUUCACUCUUAUAUUGUACUUCAGAUUAUAAAGACAAAUAAAUCCAAUUGUACUUCAGAUUAUAUUAUAAAGACAUAAUAAACAUAUGAAGGACGUGUACUUCAAAACCUUCUCUGAUAUGUUUUUGCAUAAAAUUGGAAAGAGUGAAGGAGCGAUAAUAGAUCUCUCCCUUGUUUGAUGAUUGCUCAUAUUACUUCGUUAGUGUGUUCUGCAGAAGCCCAUAACACACCUGUUCUAGAGAUAUAAAUCAAAACGACAACUUAACGUGGCUAUCAAAAUCUUUAACUAAUUUUGUGUAUUCACCAAACUAAUAGGUUUUCUGAAUCUGUUAUUAUUGCAUGCAUAUAUCUAACGAUUUUUUUUGUUAGGACUAUUAUUAGAUCAUGACUUCAUGAGAUCCGAUUCAAAAGACUUUUCUUUUCUCUAUGUAAACAAACUAAAAUAAACCUUAGUACAGAAUAGGGUUGGACGGUCGUGAAUCCGUUCAGUUUUGGCUCAAAUCUAUUCGAAUAUUGUUUUUUCAAGAUUAGAAAAUUAAGUCUCAUUUAAAUAUUUAAAUUUUAGGUUCGUCUUACGAGUUUGGUUCAGGUUCGCAUAACCAUUAGAUUAUGUAAACGUUUCAAAAAUCCGAAUAUAUUUAAAAAUUAUUAAAACCCUAAAAUGAAAAUAAUAUAAAACAUACAACAAUAUAUGACCAAAUGCCAAAAAUUGACAUGAAAAUUAGCUUGUUUUGGAAAUUAGGAUGGAGAACAUGUGACUAUUUUAAGAUAAAUUUUGACUAUAUUUGGAUAGUUACUUGUGAUUAUUUGCCUAUAAAUUUUGGAUAUUUUAAAUUAUUAUCAAUAUUCUGAAGAUAAUAUAUAUAUAUAUAUAUAUAUAUAUUGUAGUUUAUAAUUAUGAUUCAGAUAUUUUUAGAGUACCUAAAAUAUUUUGGUUUGAAGGUUAGUUUCAACUAAUAAUAUCUAAUUUUUGAUCAAUUCAGAUAUUUUACUAGUUUCAGUUCCUGUUUGGUAUCACUUUUUGGAUUAGAUUUGGUUUGGUUCUUUGGAUUUAAAUAUUUUACAAAGCCUAGUAGUACAGCUACUUUGCACAUGUUUUUAACAGAAAAUAUCAAAAAUAAAUUAUUAAAAAAUAAUAAAUAUUUUAGUAAAAAUAAAUAAAAUAAGAGAUUGCAAAACAGAUUUUUAUUUCAUAAAAUGUGAGAUAUUGUUUGUAUAAAUAUUGACCACUCAUUAAUAUGCAACUGGUUUUUUUUUUUUUUUUUUACAAUUGGAUUUAAAAUUGGUUAAACUAUUGGUAAGAUUUAAUCCGUAUAAUAUACCACGAAAUAGAAAUUAGAACAAGAUGAGAAAUAAAAAUAUAUAUAUAUAUAUUCGAAUUCAACUAUAAAGCAGAAUAAAGAGAAACAUAAUAUCUUUCUCUAGCAAAACUGAGACUAAGGAAGACAAGAAUUCUGUUUUAACUCCAAAAGUAAACUGACAGAACUCAGAUGAUAGUAGCUUUAGAUAAUUCCGAUUUUGUUAGCCACCUCCAAAGCAUCAUAAUCAGGAGUCAAUCUCACAUAAGCCUUCUUCGUUCCAUCAGGCCUGCAAACAAAGCAUUUCACUCACCUCAUCAUCCAUGUUUUAUAUUAUAAACCCAUCUCUCUAUAAAGAAAUUUUUGCUUUCAAGAAUGUAUGUACCUAAUGAGGGUAUUGAAUUUCUUGGUCUGAAUGUCAUACAUCUUCUUGACAGCAUCUUUGAUCUUCUUCUUGUCAGCACGAAUGUCAACAAUGAAAACCAAGGUCUUGUUGCCUUCGAUCUUCUUCAUUGCAGACUCGGUGGUGAGUGGGUACUUGAGGAUUUCGGAGUGGUCCAACUUGUUCCUUGGAGUGGUACUGAUGCGUGGGUAUUUGGGGUCUCUAGCCUUUGUCAAUGUCUUUGGCCUGUGGAAUGUCACCUUCGUCCUGAUCUUCUUCGCCUUCUUCUUAAUGAUUUUCCCUGAUUUUACAGCUUUCACAGCGUUCAAGGCCUUGGCCUUUGGGUCAGCCUUCUUAGUGACAUCAACUGCAACAACAACAACAACAAUGAGAAAUGGAGAUUUGAAUCAAAUUAGAAUUUGAGACCAAAAACUUGGGACAUUUUUCUAACUACAGAAAACUCAAUUAUACAUGUGUAUAAUUCAAAAAUCAAACCAUAAACCCAAUGUGACUCACAAAGACAAGCAAAACUCAUUUAAAUGCAAAUUAUAGACGAUGUUAUUAUCCAUUUCAACAAAGAUUUCUGCUAGUAACAGGACAUAUUCAACAGUUUACACAGCGCAUUAAGCUUUCUCCCAUUGCAAAUCAAUGUAAACGGUCCAAUUAAUACAUUAAUAAUUUAAUGUUUAGAUGAUGCAACAAACUUUAUACUAUGAUAAUAAUAAAGUAUAAUAACAUAGCGAGUUUUGUUUAUGAUAAAAAUAAUAGAUCUAACACACUUUACUCCGAGCGGGAUUACGAACAAUAAUUUAAGCUAAUUUUUCAUUAGUCAUGUCAGUAAAUUUAGAGAGCAUUUUCCUACGUGGCAUUGAGCACAUUUGAGUCAUUAAUACACGUCAUAAAAGGUUUUGAAAAUCGUACCGGUUUUGACCGUUGACUCAUUUAGCAAGCCGAGUCUGGUUCGUUUCAAAACCCGGAUUUGAUAAAAACAGGAAAACUUGGUUCAAAAUCAGUGACCCGGGUAGACAUUAAAACAUGGGUUUUGAUACAUUUUACUUUUUCCACUCAUUUUUUGGUCGCCAUUUAGAGUCUAAAUAGAAUAAUCCUUGAUAUUGAUAAUAAGUUAAGAAUAUUUAGGCUCUAAAAGGUGACUAAAGAAAUGAGUAGGAAUAAUAAAAAAUUUAUCAUUCUUUACAAUUUAUACAAUUUACAAGGAAUAUUUGUUAUCAGUAUAUUUUUUAUCAUUCCUUACAAUUUACACCAUCUACAAAUUACUACUUUUUAAGAAUGUAAAGAAAACGAAAUGUCAUUAUCUAGAUAAUACAAUUGAAUAAGUUUGAGAUAUUUUAUCAUUCUCCAACAGAUUUUUUAUUUAAUUUGUCAUGUUUUCAUUUAAUUCAUUAUGUAUUCAUGAUUUAGUUAUUAUUUAUCUGUUUUAUGAUAUUCUUUCUAGAUAUUAGCCAUUAGACAAUUUGACCAGUCUAAUGACAGUGGUGGAAACAUUCAACUUAUGCGGACACAGAAUUUCACUCGAUGCGAAUUAACCUUGCAUUCGGAAGUAGAAGUACUGCAAUCGGCGAUGGAGAAUAUGAUUCAACAUUCGACAUGUCAGAGCUUUGUAACAGACUGUAAGAAGCUGAUUACAAUGAUUAAGGAACCUCAUGCUUAGCCAAGCUUUGCGACAGAAUUAGAGAGGAUAGAGACGCUGCAUAUAUGUUUCUCGGACUUCAAUAUAACUCAUGGACCAUGAGCGUACAACCAGAUUUCUGAUUUUUUAGCUAAAAUUGCUAUAACUUUCCAUAGGGAAUUACAUUUUAUUGAUUGUUCUUUUUCGGUCUGGUUACCUAGACCACUUCAAGUUUAAGUAAUAGAAUGGCCACUCAACCAGUACGCCGAGUAUAUUCGGUCAUGUUUUUAAAACAUUGACGUCAUAUUUAGAUCCAAUUAAAUUAUAACGUUUUUAUCUAAACAUGUUCUCAGUCAAUAAUAUGAUUGACGAUACGUGAUUCUACAUAUUUAUAUAUUAUUUUAUUAUUUUUCUAACUGCUAAUUGUAUGAUUUCCUUCAUUCAUUACCAUGCCUACCCUACCCUUCAUGUUUGUUUUACUGAAUUAAAUUAAAUAAUUAAAUAAAUCAUGUUCAAGUGGGGUUUAUAAAAUAGAUUUAGGGAAACUGCCAAAAUGAUUAAAAAAAAACUUCAUUUUAAAUGCAAAAGUAUAUCCCAAAUUCAAUCAAAUGCAUAGUAAUCCAAAAUGCUAGUAAAAUUACAAUCAACCUCUUAUGAACAAACAAAAAACAGUAUGCAUUUUUACGUAUAUUAAUACCCCGGGAAUUUUUUUGUAGUUUUGUAGGUUUUCUAUAAGAAGACUCCUUGGAAGUAUUCUGUGAGAAGACUCAUUGGAAGUCUUCUAAAGUAGUAGAUCUUAAAAAUAAUUUAUAAAUUUUAUAAAAACUAUUUUUAUGGGGAAAAAUUAAAAUCAUUUAAUUGUAAAAAUUAUUAAAAAUAAAAAUUAAGAUCCAUUAAAUUUGAAUUGUUUUCAAAUUUCAACAUAGAUGUAGAUUGAGUCAUGAAAAAAUUAAAAUCAUGCAAUUAUAAAUAUUAUUAAAAAUAUCUAUUUUAAAUGUUUUAUCAUCUUUGACAUUCCUUUUUUCACUAUUCAUAACUAUUUUAUUAAUUGUCUUUAUCAUAAUAAUUUAACAUCAUUUAUUUUACGUGUUAACCAUAAUAAUUUCACAGGAAUAAAUGCAACUAGAUCUUGACCUAUGCACCCACACAGAUGUUUUGUUUUAAUUGUAUAGACAAAUGAAAUUCUUCACAACAUAAAAAUCUAAUGGUUUCACAAACACACAUAUAUAUGCGCGUUUUGAGUAUUUGUAAUACAUAAAAUUUAUGAUAGAUUGACGGUUUUUAAUAGUCUGUUUUUUUUAUUGCUCAUAUUACGGUUUGAUAUAAAACCAAUCAAAAUGAUAUAUUAUAUAACAUAUUCGUAUAUUAAUAAAUUAUAGUAACCAUUUUUUGAUGUAUUUAUUUAUAGAUUAAAGCACCUAUAAUUAUGUUUAUGUAAAUCAAUAAAUCCUUAUUUGUAAACAAAAGAAAUAAAUUUAUCUUUCCAAAAUAAAAUAAAAAGUUCUUUCCUUUUUAAUAAGAUAGAUAGAUAUGUCUCUAAAUUUUUUUAUAUGCCAACUAAAUUUCACUUCUAUGUUUACUUUUGAUGAAAUUUUUUAAUUGAAAUUUAUUUUUUGCAUUAUUAUACUUCAAAAAUAUAGGUGUUAAUUAUAUUAAUCAUCAAAUUAUUUAACAUAUAUUUGAAAAUUAACUUUGUAUUUUUAAUAAAACAUUUAUAGUUUAUAUUUUGUUUGUGAAAUGAAAUACUAAUUUAUAUAUUAAUUAAUAUGUAACAUUUAAAAUUUGUAGUCACAUUUAGAUAAAUCUAUUUAAUUUUAUUGUAAAACUUGGUUAACGAAUAAUUCGGUUAAAGAAUAAUCGUAGGUUUAGUAAAUAUAUUAAGUUUGGUUAGAGAAAUUCUACCAAAAUAAAUGAAAUGUGGUUAAUUAAUUAAUUUUUGUAAGUUUGGCUAUAAAAGAAUCUAAGAAAAUAAUGAUUUGUGGUUAAUUAAUUCAUAUUUAUUAAUUAAGUGGCACAAUUUGUAAUUAUUAAGAUGGAAGAAGGGUUAUUUUCAAAAGACGCUUCAGUUUUAGUAAUACUAGAUCCUUUCUCCGCGCGGAUAAUAUAUUUAAAUUUGUUACAAUUAUCAUUUUUAUUUGUAUGUGAAUUUUUGUAUAUUAAAUUAUAUAUAACUAAUUUUUAAAUUUGAUUUUUAUAUAUAUUUUUAGUUUGAAGUAAGUAUUUCUAUUAUAUGUAACACAAUUAACUAAUAAAAUAUAAAGAAUCAAGUCCGAGAUUUUAGAGUUAUGUAAAAAAUAUAUAAUUAUGUAUAGAACAUAAAUUAUCUUAGUUUAAAAGAUCGGAAUCUCAUCUCGAAUAAAUUCACGAAACGAAAAAAAUGCUCCAAUAACCUACAUAAAAUAUAAAACCCCCUUUUCAAAAAAAAAUGUACUUAAUAAUAUUUUUUUACGUGUAAUAGUUGAAAAAUGACAAUUGAAUAUUGAUCUAGAAUUUUGUAUUAUUUUAAUAAAUUUAUUUUAUUAACAUACUAUAUUUUUUAUUCAUUUAUUAUUUUGACGUUACAAAAUAUUGCUUUAUUUUUAUUUGUAUAUUAUUUUUUUAAUAAUUUAUUUUCUUUUUAAGUAAUUUUGAAAUUGUCAAGAAUAUAAUAUAUUUAAAAUUAUUUAUUUAAAUAUAUCCAAAUAUGAAGUCUCAUUUUUAUGUGUUUAUGUUGAGCAUAUUUAAUUUGUAGUUUGUAUAUUUAAUAACACAUUGCUGCGUGUCGUUCUAUGGUUUUAAUACAUGUGUUGUCAUUUCAUUUUUAUUAAUACAAACAUGAUUUUUUUAGUGAUCAGUGAUAAUGUACUUUUAACGUUAUGUAUUAUAUUGUAUCGUAUAUUUUCUAACUCUUCAUGAUGACACUUUUUUAGAAUUAUUUUAAUUAGAUAAUAAAACUUAGUAUGUUGUAAAUUUAGACUUUUUAGUGUAACUGAGCACUAUCAAUUAUAGAAAUUAUAUUAUAAUUUUAUUUUACUAAAUCUUUCUUUAUGUGUAUAUUUUUUGUUUUAUUUUGUAUUUUUACAAUUUUAUUGCCUUAUUCUUUAAUUGCAAAGAAUUACUAUUUCCAAAUUUUGUUUCAUAUACCUUAAAAAUCUUCGGUUGAUUUUUGGGAUCAAACUAAUGAUAGAAAAGCUUAAACUCCGAAAAUUGAGUGAGUAUUUGUACUACAGAAAAAUGAUUUAGGCACUAAUAUACUGAGAUAUUAUCACUUAAAGCAACAAUUGAUAUUAACACAGACCAAACACAAACGGAUGCUUUGUGUUAAUUUAUUUGCUCACCUUUGCGUUAACGACACACAUCACUCUAUUUUUGUACUUUCAGGGAUGGUUUCAAAAGAUCUAACCACUGUUGAUCUACAUAACAUGAAAAAAAAGUCAACUUCAGACGACAUAUUUGGUUGGUAAAUGAAUUUAUAAAGAGAGACCUUGUCUUCUAAUUUUUUUUACCUUCGGUAACUCACAUCUUCACAAGAGGCUCCUGACAAAGAAACCCAAUCCAUAUCAAAAGCUGCACACGUACACUGGUCACCACCACGCCUAUCAUCAUUAAAGCAGAAGCAAUCGUUUUCAAGUAUCUCGUCUAAACCUAUAUCCUCCAAUGUCGCUGGUGGAGCACUCCAAACACACAAACACAAAUUCAUUCUCCAUAAUUUAGUUGACAACAACCUAAUGUAAAACAUUUAUUUGACAGUUAUUUUACCUGAAACUACCAGCAAUCAUGGCAGUUGUUUUAGAAGUUGAGAUGAUCCCAGGUGCUGAAUCUGAAAGACCUUUAAAAUCUUCAUCCUUCUCACCUAAACCAUGUCUACCAGCUACUGUACUACUGCCCUCACUAAGGAUGCUACUUUCUGAUAGAGAUCGUUUCAUCGUAGACCUAAACGCAUGGGGAAAAGAUGUAAUGUAAGUAACAUAACCUGUUUCAAACUACUCUACAAGUGUAAAGUACCUUGAGAUCUCAGGUACAGAACUGGCAAGAAACCUUGCUGCAUUGUAAUGCUGAUCAGAACCCAUUUCCCAUAGAGCUGGCUUAUCUAGUUGUGGCUGAAAGUAUCCCAAGAACCUGUAGUAAGUGACACAUCAGAUACAUUUUUCAUACCAGAUGGCUUAGAGAGAGAAAAGAUUAAGCCAGCCUACAAGUUAAUCGCAUCUUGCUUUUCAGCAUCCAUAUAAGCGUUACUGUAGUAACGUUGUAAUGUUCUGAAUAACCUUGUGACUGAGUAGCCGCUUUCCACUGACCACGCCUUUCACAAAAUAUCUAUCCACAGAAAAAAAAAAAUCAUUGCAAGGUUUAAUAAGGCAACAAAGUAAUGGCCAAAGAAGCUAAGAAAGGGACCUUGUUAUGUGCUGCGGAUCCUCCAUACUGAAGCGCAAGAGUAUCGCCCAUUGUCUCAUAUACUCCCAUCAAAUCUUCAGCCAGAGGAUUAUCUAGAUCAAUAGUAGUAGACUGUCAAUCCCAAAGCAUGGAGUUGACGCCCAAUUGCUACCAAACCGUAAGCGUACUGAGCAACAUUGGUGCGGUCUAAACAGUCUAUGCAGUUAGUCCUCAAGACUCCUUUCUGAAGCAUGGUGGCUUCCUUUUGCGGAUCCUUGCUGUCAUUACCAUUCUCCACCGCUGAGUCUGAUGCAAUCUCAUCUUUAGUGGGAUACCAUAAUAGAGUCAAGCCUCAAGUCAAAAUCUAGUGAUUUUUUUUUCAAUUAAAAAAAUGGUAAUGAACAUUGACCACAUACUUCAUCACGAACAGCUGAAGCUUCCCGCUGAUACCCUUUAUGUCUCGAACGAACCAACGGUACAUCACCAUAGUAUCUGAACCAAAAAAAAACAUUAAAUUUUAAUGAAUCAAGCACAACAUCAUAGUUAGUAUCUUUUUCUUUCACCUGUUAUCUCUGUCUUUAUAGGGAUAAUCAAGUGGAGGUUUCAACGACGCCUUAGGUGGCAUCCAAACCGGAGAUGCAUUCGGAGCUAUAGAUCUACCGAACACUGAUGAUGAUGACCUUCCUGUCGACGAAGAACGCAAGCGUUUUGCUCCAUGAGGUAUCUGCUUAUCUAAAUUCAAAUCAACGAAAAUGAAUCCAAAUCUCAACCUCAUAAUCAUCAAAACGAAGCACACAGAUCAUACAGGUUCCAAUCUUUCAAGCAGAAUUGGACUUCCAAUAUAACACACAGUGUUUAGAGAUUAUAUGCUCAGAUAAAAAGAAAAUAAGGGAUAAUUGGCAUACCUGUAGUCGAUGAGGAGCAUCUCAAAGCAAAUAAAGGUUCCACCUUUGCAAUGUUUCUGGCUUCCCAGAAGUGGAUCAAGCGAAAUCAGAGCUCUGAUUUGGCUGGACCUGAUGAGAUGUUGUUGAAGUAAAAGGCGAUGGGAGAUCUGCCCGUGUAGAGCUGACUUUUUCCAGCCGAUUCCUCACCACCAGUCUUAGCUAACCCGGGUUUCGUCGGCUAUGGUGUUCAGUGGUUGGUCAUCACCAACGUAUGAAUCUCUAUAUUCCAGGAAAAGUUUAGAGGAGUGGAAAGAGAAUUGAUCGUUCGCGAUAAAGACUUGUGAAACGUAGUAAAAGGAGAAGAGGAAGAGAAAGGGGAUCGACAGAACGAAGGGGAGGAAGAGAAAGGGGAUCAAAGAUUGAUUUUGAUAAAUUAGGGUUGUUUCUUCCCGUAAAGGGGAAAAGGAGACUUCAGCGAGAAUGAACUUCGACGUUUAGAUUCCGAACAUUAUCGGGCCGUUAUGAUACGAAGCCCAAAUGUCAUGCCCAGUGCGUCUGACAUGGCACAUUGCUAAUUUUCUAUUGGCUGAUUAUAAUUGAGGAUGUGGAAGCAUGAGAGGAGCCCUUAUUCUCCUUUUAGUAUUGUACUAGAUUUUUGACUCGCGCUACGCGCGAGUUUAUUUUAAUAAUUUGUAUCAUUUUAUACUAAUUUUAAGAUAAUGAAGUACAAUUGGUUAUAUGCAUUUUUAUAUGAAGUUUUAUUCGAAGUAUGCUUUAUUAUUUUUUUAUUUAGAUUUUUUUUAUACAAUUAUAGUCUUUAAAAAACUAAUAUUUAGAUAUAUUUUUUUGUAUAUGUAAAUGCGUAAGUGUAUUUAUAAACAUGUUUAUAUUGUUUAUUAAUAUUUUUAUAUAUUUUUUAUUAAUCUUAUUUUAAAAAUAUAUAUUGAUCAUUUUAUUCAUAUUAAAAAAUAAUACACUGUUAUAAUAAUUUUUAUUAUAAUUGUUUUAUCUAUUUGAAAAACAUAAGAACUUAAUGUAUAUGCACAAUAUCUAGCUUUACUUUGUAUUAACCAAAUUUUUACAAUGAAAGAAAACUUAUUAUAUAUUUUUGUGAAUAUCUCUAUUUGAAAUAAUCAUCCUGAAGUCGCUUAAAUGCAUAUUUGUUUGUAUUAUAUUUAGAGUUAAAUCAUAAUAAAUAUUUUUAUGAAAUUUAAAUAGUAAUAUUAUUUUAGAUAUAACAAAAAGAAAAAUAAAUAUAUACAACUUUAAACUAAUGUUAAAUAAUAUUUUAUUUAUUAUAAUGAAUAUUUUUCAUAUCUUUAUUUUCUGUUGUCACUGAGAGCGUGAGACUAUACUCUAAUGUCAAUAUUAUUUGUAAAUAUUAUUAGAAUUUUAAACUAAUAUACUUUAAUUAUUAGCCUCUUUGAUUAUUUUAUGUUGUCAUAUGUUUUAAUAACAUUUUGUUUCAAGUAUCUUUCAUUGAUAGAACUUGGUGAGAUCAUUUUUAAUUUUAUAUGUUAUGUUAAUUGCUUUAAUAAAUUUUCAUAAGCAUAUGUCUAUAAAUUCUAUCGGUGAAUUACACUAAAGACUUAUGAAAAGUCACCAUAUAGUUUGCAUAAUUUUAAUGACCAUAUUCAAAAAAGCUUAUUGAUUAUAAAAUAUUUAGAGUUUUUCUUAAAAACAUAUUUGAUUGGUUUAAUGAAUAUUUUGAUAAUGAUUUUCUUAUAAACAUAUAUGUCAAAAUUUAUUAAAUUUAAAUUUUUGAUUACUAUAUAACUAUGUUUAUUCAUUUAUUGAUAAAAACAGCUUGAGAACACAUAGGUAAAAGAUUUAAAAAAAAACAGAAAUAAACAACUUGUUUAACAAUAUAUUUCUUACAUAUGUAAACUAUUGUUACAAUCACUUAUUUCUUACAGAGCUUUGUAACUUAUUGUAAACUAAAUAAUAAAUUGGCUCGGUAAAAAAAAGAAUCACAAUCAACCAUUAUUUUUCUAAGAAACUCAUAUAACAUAUUAUAAAUUUACAAUAUUUUAUAGCUGAGACCGAUAUAAAUAAAAAACAAAUACUAAAUUUCAGUUUAACAUUUAUAUUUAUUGGCCCAUAUUAAGUACUAUGAUAUUAAUUAUUUAUUUUAUUUUGAUUUAUAAGCUAUAUGUAUGUUUUGACAUACUUUAAGACAUAAUUUUAUAAUUCUGAUGUUAAUUAAUGAAGAGUUAGCAUAUAUAUCAACUUAUUAUGCUGACAUUAAAUAUUAUUAUUGAUAUUUUAAGUUAUUUCUGAUUUUUAAAGGAUAUAGUCCAUAUCGUAUUAAAGGUUACAGACAUAAUUAGAUUUUUUCUUGUCAAUCUCUUAUUAUGUUAGUUUUCAAUAAUUAGCUAUAAAUAUCAGUCUAACUUUAAAGAUAUUUUUUUACAAAUUUUAAUUUAUCUUUUUAUAGUUUUUGUUGAUUUUUAUUUAUUUUUACAUACGUGAUUAUUUAUAAAUAAUUUGUGUUUUUAACUUUAUUUCUUCUUGAAAUAUUUUUAUUUUUGUUAUUUUAUGUUUAAUGUCAAAUAUAUAUUUAUUUUAUAUAUCAAGUUAACUAUUUUUAAUAAAAUAAUAUCUUUAUUUAAUAUAUCAAAUUAAAAUGCUGACUUUUUUUAUAUUAUUAUAAUGAUAUUUUUAAAUUCUAUGUGAACACUAUAUAUAUCCUAAAUUUUGAAAUCAUAUGUUAUAGAUUCAUAUGUAAUGAAAUAGUGCUUUAGAUUUAUAUUGUCUUUAUUAUUUGAAAUCCUUAUAUUUUUAAGAUUAUUUUAGUUACUUAAUUUUAUGUUGAUCUUCUAAAGAUUUAAUUUUUAUAAUAAACUAAUUCUUUUAGUUAUUUUUUUGUUAGUUAAUUUUAUGUUGGUCUUUCAAAGAUUUAGUUUAUAUACCAAAUUGAUUCCUUUAAUAAUUUUGCCUUUUUCACGAAAUUGAAUAGUAGUUUCCUUUUUAUUUUGAAAUAAACAUUUUUUCUGAAAAUCUUGAAAUUUUUAAAAUAAUAAUUAUACCUUUUGGUCAAUAAGAAAUAACUCGAAGCCCAUAAGCAAACCACCCUUGUUGAUGUUACGCGCUUCCCAAAAGUGAACCACUCUAGCAAGAACUUCAUUCUUAUUAAAACCUUUUUUAAGAUCAUCCAAAACCAAAGAAGUAGCUGAAGCGACCAUAUCUCUAUUCUCUUUUCAAUAUCUAUCUCUUUCUCAAAGUAAAAUCUUGAAAACUUUUAGAACUUUAGAUGAUUAUUUAUAGUCACCCAAUACUUCAUAUAUUAGAAACUUUCUUAUUUUAUGUAUUAAGUGAACUUACCUUUUAUUAAAACUUAUAUUUUAUGAUAAUAUACAUAAAUUUGGAAAUUGACAAAAAAAAGCUGAUAAAAAAUACAUAAAUUUGGAAAUCAUGACAUUUUUAAAAUAUGUAAAGGUAAAAUGUUAUUUAACGAUAUGUUUUGACUUUUUAAAUUUUGAUUUUUAAACCUAAUAAAUAUAUAUCGUCAUUUAAUAUUUAAAUGUCUAUUUAUGUAAAAUAUACAUAAAUUUGAAAGUUGUCCCAAAAAAAAGCUGACCAAAAAAAAUUCAUAAAUUUUGAAAUCAUGACAUUUUUAAAAUAUAUAAAGGUAAUAUAGUAUUUAAGGAUACUUUUUUGACUUUUAAAAUUUUUGAAUUUUAAAUCUAAUAAUUAUAUUUCGACUUUAAAUAUUAAAACUUCUAUUUUAUGUCAAUAUACAUAAAUUUGGAAAGCUGGCCAAACAAAAGCUGACAAAAAAAAUCAUAAAUUUGGAAAUCAUAUAUUUUAUUAGCCUAAUUUAUUAGAUAAUAUUUAUUUUUUUAAUAAAAUAUUUUUUUGCAAACAUUAACAUAUUUUUAAAAAUGAUUUAUCAUAAACGAUUUUAGGAAAUAUUGGCAUUUUCGAAAAUAGCAAACUUAUUAAUUAUUCUUUUGGUUAUUUAUUUUUUUAAUUUUCGAAAAAUAAUUAAACCUUUUCCGUCAUACAUCCAUUUAGAACUCUAGAGUUAAGUGUACUUGAGCUAAAGUAGUGGAAGGAUGUGUGACCCAUCAGGAAGUGAUUCGCAAUAUCGUGUGAGUGAGGUCAAAGCACGCAGAAAGGUCAUGUGGUAAUUGCAUGGUCAGUAAACAAGAUUUUCGGGCCAUGGAAAAUUAACGCACCGCCUGUCAGAAGGGAUGAGACCAUGGGCCGAGUGAGUGGGAGUGGGUGGUCCAUUAGCCGUGAACGGUCGGAACGUUACAACUACGUUCAUAAUACCAUUUUCAUGUUUACCUUAACCAUCUUUACCUUCACUUUCAAAGAGGAAAAAAACACUUAUAAUCCUAGGGUAAACUAAUCAAGACUUUAGAUUCAAAGUUGGAGUAAUUUCAUAUUUACCACUUUCAUGCUACCAUUAUUCUUUUUUACCACCAUUAAAGAAACAUUUUCAAAAAUAUCUUCUUCAUAAAGUGGCAAAACACUCUUAUAUCAUUGCUCUCUAUAUAUAUAAUAAAUAAUCAUUUAAAUAAAAAAAUUUAUGUUUUUGAAUUCUGCUUUUUCCAAUUCGAACUUUAAAAAAAAUUUUGAAAAAAAAAUUUGAACUUUUUUUUCCAAAUAUUUUUUUUUUUGAAAAUCAAAAAUUAUUUUUGAAACUAUUUUUAAAAUUUUUUUAUAUUUUUUAAGUAUUUAUAAAUUUAUUAGAAUCCUAAAUUUCACAUUCUAAAAAUCUUAUUACAUUCUUCGACUCUAAACUCUAAGUCUAGAUUAGUUAACCCUAGGGUAUAAAUGAAUUUUACCCUUAAUUAAAAGUAACGAUAAAAAUGAUUAGUGUAAACAUGAAAAGUAGUACUAUGAAUGUGAUAUUUGUGGCAAUGUUCCUUUAAAGUUGAGGGGUGUGGCAGAGUUUUUGGAAUAUAGAAUUUAAGAUUCUAAUAAAUAUAUAAAUAAAUACUUAAAAACUAAUAAGUUUUUUUCUUAAAUGGUUUCAAAAAUAAUUUUCGAACUUCAAAAAUAAAAUUAAAAAAAUCCAAAAAGAAAUUUAUAACAAAGUUCGAAUUUGAAAAAAUAUAAUUCGGAAACAUAAUAAAAUUUUACUUUUUUUAUUUAAAUAAUUAUUUAUUAUAUAUAUAUAGCAAGUGUAUAAAUGUCUUUUACUUCUUAAUGAGUAAAAUAUUUUUGAAAAUAUCUCUUUAGUGAAUGUAAACAUAAAUAAUAGUACCAACAACGUGGUAAAUAUGAAAAAUUCCCUUACAUAUAUAUAUGUAAUAGCUAUUAUUGAAUUAUUAUGUUACUUAACUAAAUAUGAUUACAUUUAUGUUAUGACAUUUUUAAAAUAUAUAAAGGUAAUAUAGUAUUUAAGGAUACUUUUUUGACUUUUAAAAUUUUUGAAUUUUAAAUCUAAUAAUUAUAUUUCGACUUUAAAUAUUAAAACUUCUAUUUUAUGUCAAUAUACAUAAAUUUGGAAAGCUGGCCAAACAAAAGCUGACAAAAAAAUCAUAAAUUUGGAAAUCAUAUAUUUUAUUAGCCUACUUUAUUAGAUAAUAUUUAUUUUUUUGAUAAAAUAUUUUUUUGCAAACAUUAACAUAUUUUUAAAAAUGAUUUAUCAUAAACGAUUUUAGGAAAUAUUGGCAUUUUCGAAAAUAGCAAACUUAUUAAUUAUUCUUUUGGUUAUUUAUUUUUUUAAUUUUCGAAAAAAUAAUUAAACAUUUUGUUAACUUAAUAUAGUAUUUAUAUUUUUAUUGAUUUACCUUAUUUGAUAUUGAUUUAUAUUUUAGUUUGAAAUAAAUGAUUUUUUUUUGUAAUAUUAACAUUUUUCAAAAUAGUAAACUUAAAUAAUGAUUUGUCAUACUACGAUUGAUCGUUUAACAUCCUACGUGGACACCCUCAAUGGCUUAUAGCCUCAACUUUUAUAUAGUAUAGAUUGAUUGGUUGUUCCAUUGACAAGAACUCAAAUAUAUUUACAAAGAAUUUUUUAUUUGUUUACAGAAUCAGAUAUGCAUGUAUAUUUAGGUAUUUGUUCAGAUAGGAAUCAGUUCUUUCAGGUAUAAGAAUUUUUUGGUUUUAAAUUAGAUUCUGUUUAAAAAUACUAUAAAUUUAUGGGCGGAAUUCGAGUAGGAUGAAUUCAGUUAUAAUGUGUUAGAACCUAAAAUUAUCCAAAUGACAUAUAUAUUUUAUAAAUGUCAUUAAACAAUUUAUAAAAAAGGGUAAAACACAACAUCUGCAUUGGUGCAUGUAUCAAGCUCUAAUUGUUUUUAUUACAACACACGGGCUUUGAGGCUCAAAGAGAAGAAAAAAUGGGCAGGCCAGGUAAUGUAGUUCCAGAGUCAAGAAUGUAUAUAUUUCCUGAGACAUAUCGAGAAGAGUCAUGAAUGAGAUAGCGAACCAGCGAGGUAAUUCCCGGAUCCACGGUCUGUUGCACCUUUAACGGUAUAAUCCUAUCGGUCACGUUCUUUAGCCAUUCUUUUUGCAUAAGACCUUGCGUGAUCUCUGACUUAAGAAGCCCCGGUGCGAUUGAGUUCACUCUGAUGUUGUAUACACCUAACUCAAUAGCCAUCAUCCUCGUCAUGGUGUCAACACCGCCUUUGGAACAAGCAUAGGCGACUCCACCGAAAAACAAACCUCGGUGGAGACCGGAGAUGGACGAGACGUUUAUCACCGAGCCGCCGCGUUUUGAGUCACGCAUUAGACUGCAGACGUAUUUGGAUACUAACCAAGGUCCGGUUAAGUUGGUUCUGAAGACUGUGUUCCACUCGUCUUCAGUCAGAUCUAAACUCGUCUUGACAUUGCCUCUGAUUCCAGCGUUGUUGAUCAACACAUCUAUCUUUCCGAAGAUGUCCCAAGCUUGUUUGACCGCUUUUUGAAUGGUGGCUGCGUCUGAUGAAACGUCUAGCUCGAUCGGUGCGGCUAAUUGGAUCCCGGUUGAACUUAAGCUGUUGAUUUCAGAGCAAAGAGAUUCGAGACGGUCGACACGGCGAGCUGCUGCGAUAAUCUUACAGCCAGCUUUGCCCAGAUCAAGACAGACUUCUCUUCCUAUACCAGAAGAAGCUCCGGUCAGAAGAACCACUUUGUCUUUAAGCUCGCACCAUGGCUCUAGUUGCUUCAACAUCUGCUUCUCUCCCAUUAAAAAGAAAACAAACAAAUUUGAGAUUAUAAAUGAUAGAAACAGAUGAAAGACAAAUUCCGUGAGCUAUAUAUAUGAUGAAGAAGAUAAGACAAAUUAAAAGUUAAUUCAAGAUAAGAUGAGAUUUUAUCAUGAAGUUAUAGUAAGGAUUGUACUCCCUCUUUUUUUUUUCUUUUUUUUAAAGAGUGUCAUUUUAGGUUUUUUUUCUUGUUACAAAAAAUGCGUUUUGGAUUUCGAAUGCAAUUUUUACUUAAUUUCAGAUGAAUAGUAAUUGUAAAAUGCAUUGAUCUAAUAAAUAGACUUAUAUAUCUUAAAUAUUAUUAGUCAAUUAGAUAUAAUUAAUGAAAACAUAAAUACAUUUUAAUCAUUUUCUUAAUAUGUAUGAAAAGUGUCUAAUUGAUCACUUAUAAUGAAACGAAGAAAGUAUUCAAAAACAUAUAAAUCUACAUAAAAUGAGAGAGAGAGAGAGAGAGAGAGAGAGAGAGAGAGAGAGAGAGAAUUUGUCUCACCGUGGUUUGAUGACUGUUCAUAUUACUUUCUCUGGUGUUUGUUCAGUGAAGAAGUAGAAGGCCAUAACACAUUUAUAAAGCCCUAGGGAGAGGUUGGUUGGUCCGGAUAUACCUUAUGUAUUUAGCAUUAAUUUUUACUAGAGCUUAAUCCGCACGCCCGUAUAUUGGUUCUUACGUUUUUAUAAAUUGAUAUUUUUUUUCAUGAUUAGUAUUAUAUAUUUUAGAUGUGUCACCAUAUGACUAAUUGCAAUCAAAAGAUCCGGAUUGAAUCGGGUAAUAUAGUUAUUUUUGGUACAAGUAUUUCUAAUCCAUUCCAAAUACAUUAGUUAUUUGGAUAUUUUUAAGUUUGUAUACAUCAAAACCAACCAUCUAAACUCUAUAGGACCCAACUCAAAACUCACACAUAAAAGUUUAAUAUCCAAGCGGGGCCUAAUUAUAAAAUCCCAAAAAAAAAUUUGAUACCCGAAAGAAACAACCCGUACCUGAAUGUCUAUGCCUAACUAAUUCUGUAACCAAAUAAAAAAAUUCUUUCUAUGUGUUUGGGUAAAUUAAGUAAAAUAGAAAGCUCUUUAAUUUAGUAAAAAAGUUAUAUGGUGUGAAAAAUUAAGUGACAAUAUAUGUAAUGUGUUUUUAUUAUUUUGAUUUAAGUUAUUAUUUUGUUCAUAUUAACUAUGUCUUUGAAUUAUGUGUUUGGCUACGUAAUUUCUAACCAUAUGCAAAACCCGGUUGUUUUACAUGAUUUUUAUAAUUGGUACAAAGUUAAUUUUGAUUAAAAAUAAAAAUCUUCAAUAUUAUUAUUAUGGUUAUGCAACUAAUGAUGUAAUGUAUUAUUAAUGUAAUAUAAUUAAUGAAGCUGUUAAAUUGAGUGAAAAUGGAAUGAUAAUUAAUGUAUUAACUUGUUGGAAAAAAGUUAGUUCUAUUUGUACUUCAGUUUUAAUAACAUACUAGAGAUUGACCCGCACACCCCCGCACAUGUAUUGCUUCUUACAUUUUUAUACAUUUAUGUUUGUUUUUCAUAAUUAGUGCUAUAUAUUUUAGAUGGGUCGUAAUAUAACUAAUUGCAUUCAAAAGACAUGGACCAAAUCGGAUAAUAUUAUUAUUUUUGGUACAAAUAUCCUAACCUAUUUCAGAUACAUUUGUUAUUUAUAUAUUUUUAGGUUCCUAUACAUCAUAACCGAACUCAUCCAGACCCAGAAGGACCCAACUCAAAACUCACACUUAAAUUUAUAAUAUUCAAGUGGGGUCUAAUUUAUAAAAAAAACAAUACCUGAAAAUAACAACCCGUAUCUAAAUGGAUAGCCAAUGUUCAUGCCUAACUAAUUUUAUAAACUAAUAAACAUGACUCUUUCUAUGUCUUUGGCUAAAUUAAUUGAAAUAAAAAGAUUUUUUUUAUUUAGUAAAAUAAUUAUAUAGAGUGGAAAAUUAAGGGACAAUAAAUGUAAUACAUUUUUAUUAUUUUAAUUUAAGUUAUUAUUUUAUUCACAAAAAAAAUAUAUUUGAAUUAUGUUUUUGGCAAACUUAGAGUUUUAAGUGAUUUAUAUUAAAAUGACAAAUCUACUAUUACUCAAACAUGAAUUUUGAAACUCAUUUAAAAUCUACUAUUAUUGAACUUAGCAUUUCGUAGAGUACUCUAAAAUUCACUGUUAUUAAAAAUAUUUUAAAUUGUGGAGUUUUAAAGUUUUGAGGUGAUUUUAGGGUGUUUGGGUGGAGUUUCAUAGUUAAAAAAAAAAAAUCCAAAUCCCAUAGUUUUAGGUUAUAUUCAAGAGGGGUUAAACAAAAAUCACAUAAAUCUCUGCAAUUUAUUGAAAUCAUCUAAAACUCCAUUAAAAGUUAAAUCACCUUAUUAAAUCACCUUUAUCACAUUUGAGGUGAUUUAACUUUUAACGGAGUUUUAGAUGAUUUCGAUAAGUUGCAGAGAUUUAUGUGAUUUUUGUUAAACCACUCUAGAAUAUAUAACCUAAAAACCAUAGAAUUUGGGUUUUAUUUUUUUUUAACUAAAAAACUCCACCCAAAUACCCUAAAAUCACCUCAAAACUUUACAACUCAUCAACUUCAAAUAUUUUCAAUAACAGUGGAUUUUAGAGUAUUCUACAAAAUGUUAAGUUCAAUGACAGUUGAUUUUAAAUAAUUUUUAAAAUUCAUGUUUGAAUAACAGAGAAUUUAUCAUUUUAAUACAAAUCACCUAAAACUUUCAGUCGAAUACAAUACACCCCCUAAAUAAUUUUUGUAAUCACGAGUUCCGCAUGGACGAUGUCAUGAUAGUGACAUGGAAUAUUUGAGUGAUCCUUACUUAUUUUGAGUGGGCUCAACAAGGUCACGUUUUUAAAUUAAAGCUAUAACAUUACGUAGCUGUAUAUUACUAAUAAUAUACAUAAAAUCCUAUCUAUCUUAUUAAAAGAAAAAGAAAAGGAACCUUUGAAACUAAUUUUAGUUUUAUGUGAGAUAUUACAAAAUAUACUAUUUAAAUUUGUAAUUUUUGUAUUAUUUCAUUAACGAUACUUUUGUAAUGAAAUGUUAGACUAGAAAAUACGAAAUACAAAUUAAUAAAUAAAUAUUAGGUUAUUAAAAUUUCCCAAUUUUGAUUCAAAGGAAUGUAUUUAAUAAAUUAUAUAAUAAAUAUAUUUUUUUUUGACAGCAAAGAAUUUACAGACUCAUAUUAACUCCGACAAUAAAUAUUUAUUAAUCACUAAAAAAUAUAAACGGCCAUGUAACAGUCUUCAUACGACCCAUCUGCUUUUUUUUAUCAAAGGAGUCAUCUGCUAACAACCUUUUCAUGAUCCUAAUACUAUAUAAUCAUAUCUAACCUAUAUUAAAAGGGAUAUAUGAGGAGUAGGGAGGCUGUCCACGUCCUCAUUUAAAAUCAGCCAAUAGGGUGUCUGAAAUUUGCCAUGUCACACUGCUGCUGAGUUAGAUUGGGCUUCUGUGGGUUUUCUUAAAUUUUCAUCCGGUCCAACUAAACUCAUGCCCACAAAUAUGUAUCAUCUUCAAGCGUCGAGGGUCUCUGUCCCCGACUCUUCCACUUCAUCUUCUCUAAUAUCUGAUUUUUUUUCCUAUACCUUCUCAAUCAAUGAUAAUCUUAAAGCUAUUCUUGAAUGUUUUGUUUCACCUCCACUCGAUACUUGAUACUUCUCCUAUAUAAAGCUCUGUCUCUAGACCCUAAAUCUAUCCUAAAUUAAAAAAAAAAAACUAUUUUGGCGGAAGCUACAUCCAUGGCCAUGAAAUACCACCGCCAAAAUUCAGCUAUCCACCAACAAAUCUCCAAUCGUCGCGGGCUUCUGCUGAAACCACUUGCAUGAGGACUGCCAGAAUUUGUUGAGGACAGAGGCGGAAGCCCGUGUGGUCAAUGGAACCGGAGCUGAGCUUGAUCAGGUAAGGUCGGAUGUCUAGAGGCUAGCUGAAGAUAUACCGAAGCUAUCGGCGGCGACAACUGAGCUUACGGCGAGAUAGCCAAGGCUAAAGCCUUUUCCUUUGCUACGUCACCUUCUGAGAUAAAUUGUUUCGACAAACCUAUUUGGCUUCAAGCUUCGAAAGUAUCAUCUCCCGCACCCAGACUCUUCCACUUCAUCUUCUCUAUGUCUGAUUUUUUUCAGUUACCUUCUCUCAAUCAAUGAUCAGUGAUGAUCUUAAUGUUUCGUUAUACCUACCCUAGACCCUUCUCCUAUAUAAAUCACUACAAUCUACGCCUAAAUCCACCCUAAAUUAUAAACCUACUAUGUAGCAGCUGUAUCCAUAGCCAUGAAAUCGAUCGGAAAAUCGCAGCUCUCCACAAAAUCAACGCUUCCCCUACAGGUAUGGAUCUCCUUGGCCGUAUGUUUUCGUAUUUAGCUGUCACUGCUAUCACAAAGAUUGAAAAUUUAUUUUCUCUGUAGAUUAUUUUCAUCGAUGUGUAAUUUGAAAGUUACUCAUACUUUUCUCAGUUUUGCAAUCUUACAAGGAAUCUCAAGAGCCGGCAGAUAACUCAAGUGUAAGCUUAUUAAUGUCUUCUUAUUUGUGACAACUUUCAGCGAGCAUACUUUAGAUUCCUAACUAAUUAAAAAAAGGCAUUACUCUGUUUGAUGUGUGUUUUGCUUAUCUGCUUCGGCUAUGGUUUUAUGACGAUGUUUCAGGAAGUACGGAAAUGCAAAUGCCUGGACCUUUCGAUUAUCUUACUCUUACUGCCCUCAUCGAGUGUAAGGUUUGUGCUCUUCUUUCAAGCUGGUAUUUCAGACAUAUUUUUCAACGACACCAUUUUACUUCAUCAGUGAUUAUCAAUUACAGGUUUUCUGUUUGCAUUGAGGGCUUUCACUUUCUCCGAAUACACUUGAUAAUAUCCGGAUCUUGGAUUAGCUACAUGAGGUAUUAUCUUCUCCUUUUUUCUGCCCAAGUCCUUAGUUCGGAUUGGAUUUGAAGAGUUAUGAGUUGUUUAUGGGUCUCUUUCUCCUUCCACUCUCUUAAGGUUCAAGUGCUAACUUCCAAAUUAGUAUUAGGUUGUUUUCUGAAAGAGCAAAAGAAUAUCUUACUGGUCAUCUGUUUGAACUAUGUCUUGGUGCCACACUAAGGACCAAUGUGUGAUUUACUUUGGGAUGAUCCCCAUGAUGAUGUGGAUUAUCUCUUCGAGCUGGUUAUACAUUUGGACAGCUCAAUUCAAUGACAACAAUGGACUCAAUAUCAUAUUAAGAGCCCAUCAGCUUAGCUUUUAACUGGUGGCAGGUGUGUAUGUUCAUUUCAAUUGCUCAAGACUCUAACGAAGGUAUGAUUGGUCCGUCUAUCUUUUCAUAACUGUGGAUUGGAUCAUUGAUCUCUCAAACAUUUUAUGGUAACAGGAAAAAAUGUGGUGAUGGUGUCGCACCAAACUAUUGCUUCUGGUGGGGAAAUAUUGCAGCGAUUGUAGAAAUAAGAGAGGAUUAAAAUUUCCUCCAGUUUAAUCCAGCCGAAAGACCACCCAAUGCUAAAACCUAUACAAUGGCAUCUGGUAUGUUUCUAACCUCGACAGUCUCCAAGUCCAAGCGAACCUGCAGGUUCUUUAAGAGGAUCACAAGACUGAAUUAUAAACAAUAGGAAACCCUGAAGAAGCUACCUCAACAACUUCCACCUCUUGAAAUUGGAUUAAAUGUAGGGAAUUCUCUUUUGCAAUUUGAUUAUUUGGCCACAACAUCUGAAGCAUAAGGCAAAGUUGUGACAUGUGCAGGUAUAUUGCUUCUAUACAUUGACCCGCUCUCGCAAGGUUUCCUUUAAAAUAAUAUUGAAGAACUAUUAUUUCGAGUUACAAUAUAUUGUACUUCAAGUGUUAUAAUAAUUUUUUGAUGAAAUACCAUUUCCAGUAAUGUAAUCUAUGUUUUCAUAAUUAUUUUCUUUUUUGCACUCUCAUAAUUUAAUUUUAAUUUUAUUAUUUUAAUUAAUUUUAUAAGUUACAAUAUAGAUGCUUGUAUAUUCAAAAUAACGUAAUUGGCAAUUUAAAAUAACGUAUACAAUACUACAAUUUAAAAUAAGAAUACAUAUUGUAUAAAGUAUUACAAUCGGAACUAACUUUAUAAUAGUUGAGUUUAGGUGGCAAUGAGUUUCAAAUAGUUUCAGCUGACUAAGAUGUGCUUUCACGUGGUCUAGAAACCACAGAAACUUCACACUAGGGCGAUUUUAAACUUUGUUGUAUUUUUGUUAUUGAGAACUAUAUCUACAUAUAACAUGAUGAUGGAUAAGCUGAAUAAAAAAUAAAUGAAUCUUAGUUAUCAUAUAUAUAUAUAUAUAUAUAUAUUAUCUUUCUUACUAGAUGUUUAUGUAAAAACAUAUGUUAAAUGUAGAACUGAUUUAAACUUUGUUUCAGUUUUAAAAUCACUAAUUUCUCUUUCUAUUGUCCUAUAUGUCUUUAAAACGAAAUACAAACUAACUUAUACGCAUGCUUUUUACUUGGUUUAUUUCAACCAAUUGAUUAGGUUCUUCGAUCUAACAAAAAUGUAUGUUUAUGGCAUUUUGGUUUGAUACAUAUAGUUUGACAAAAUAAACCAAAAAUUCCUAGCUAGACUGUUACAAUAAAAAAUAAUUAGACCAAAACUUUGGCUUAAUAUAGAUACAAAAAUUCUCUUACAGUUAGUGAAGACAAAGUUUUAAUGAAGGAACUUUUCACAUAUUUAAAUUGUGCCACUAUUUAUAUGGGAUGAAGUAGAAACUUCUUUCUAACAAUUAUCAAAACAAUUUCGUAAAAUUUUUUUUAUCAAAAGCAAUGAUCCUAAAAUAUAUAAAUGUAAAAAAAAUGAUUUCAUUAAGCAUGAAAGUUAUAUUUUGAUAUUUAAUAAAAAUAAAAUAAAAUAUUAAUGUUUGCCUCAACAUCAUCCAAAAUAUUCUACAACAACUUCAUAAACAUUAUUCAAAGCUUCAAAGAAAACUUACAGAAUAUAUAGAAUACCAAAAACGUCAAACUACAUUACUCAUUCAUGUUUACGGUGUUAGACAUGUUAACUUUUUCAAAAUUUAUGAACCUAAUUUAUACUAUAAAGUUGUGAAGAAGAAAGUGAAAAAUCAAAAUCGAUACUAUUAGUUUUCAGAAAAAAUAUACAAAUAUUCAGUAAAACUGAUAAAUUACAAUCACUAAAGAUUUUUUUUUUUAAAAUAAAUACAAAUAACAAAAUCACCUAUUACUUACAAAUAAAAAGUAAUAAAAUUAAACACAUUUUCAAUAAAAUUAAACACAUUUUCCGCGCGUAGCGCGGACACGGCUCUAGUUUAAUUAAUACUAGAUUACGAUCAGCUCGAUAGUGUGAAUUUUAUUUUAAAUUAGUUAACUAAAUUUUCUAAAUUAAUCGAAUGUUGUUUAAUGUUAAAAGAAAAUUUAGUUGUAUAAUAUUUAUUUUAUGUGGUUCAAUUAACACUAUUAUAAUUAUUUUGUGUAAAUAUGUUGCUAAUAAUUUGGUUGAUACUAUAAUCAGUUAAAUUUGUUGUUUAUGAUUAGUGUUAAGCAUUAAUCUUUAGAUAUAAUACAUUUUGAAUAUUUUCAUAAUUAUUUUUGUUAUUAUAUUUAUCAUACAAUAUAGUUAUUUUCAAUGUAUGAUGUUUAUAUAUAUAUGGGAAAUUACCAAAAAAUACUAUUGUAACAUUCCGAGUGUUGAUAUAUGGAAAGAUUUAGGAUGAUUAAUUUGGCUAUCUAUGUCACCGAAGUUGACUUACCUUUUCCGUCAUACAUCCAUUUAGAACUCUAGAGUUAAGUGUACUUGAGCUAAAGUAGUGGAAGGAUGUGUGACCCAUCAGGAAGUGAUUCGCAAUAUCGUGUGAGUGAGGUCAAAGCACGCAGAAAGGUCAUGUGGUAAUUGCAUGGUCAGUAAACAAGAUUUUCGGGCCAUGGAAAAUUAACGCACCGCCUGUCAGAAGGGAUGAGACCAUGGGCCGAGUGAGUGGGAGUGGGUGGUCCAUUAGCCGUGAACGGUCGGAACGUUACAACUACGUUCAUAAUACCAUUUUCAUGUUUACCUUAACCAUCUUUACCUUCACUUUCAAAGAGGAAAAAAACACUUAUAAUCCUAGGGUAAACUAAUCAAGACUUUAGAUUCAAAGUUGGAGUAAUUUCAUAUUUACCACUUUCAUGCUACCAUUAUUCUUUUUUACCACCAUUAAAGAAACAUUUUCAAAAAUAUCUUCUUCAUAAAGUGGCAAAACACUCUUAUAUCAUUGCUCUCUAUAUAUAUAAUAAAUAAUCAUUUAAAUAAAAAAAUUUAUGUUUUUGAAUUCUGCUUUUUCCAAUUCGAACUUUAAAAAAAAAUUUGAAAAAAAAAUUUGAACUUUUUUUUCCAAAUAUUUUUUUUUUGAAAAUCAAAAAUUAUUUUUGAAACUAUUUUUAAAAUUUUUUUAUAUUUUUUAAGUAUUUAUAAAUUUAUUAGAAUCCUAAAUUUCACAUUCUAAAAAUCUUAUUACAUUCUUCGACUCUAAACUCUAAGUCUAGAUUAGUUAACCCUAGGGUAUAAAUGAAUUUUACCCUUAAUUAAAAGUAACGAUAAAAAUGAUUAGUGUAAACAUGAAAAGUAGUACUAUGAAUGUGAUAUUUGUGGCAAUGUUCCUUUAAAGUUGAGGGGUGUGGCAGAGUUUUUGGAAUAUAGAAUUUAAGAUUCUAAUAAAUAUAUAAAUAAAUACUUAAAAACUAAUAAGUUUUUUUCUUAAAUGGUUUCAAAAAUAAUUUUCGAACUUCAAAAAUAAAAUUAAAAAAAUCCAAAAAGAAAUUUAUAACAAAGUUCGAAUUUGAAAAAAUAUAAUUCGGAAACAUAAUAAAAUUUUACUUUUUUAUUUAAAUAAUUAUUUAUUAUAUAUAUAUAGCAAGUGUAUAAAUGUCUUUUACUUCUUAAUGAGUAAAAUAUUUUUGAAAAUAUCUCUUUAGUGAAUGUAAACAUAAAUAAUAGUACCAACAACGUGGUAAAUAUGAAAAAUUCCCUUACAUAUAUAUAUGUAAUAGCUAUUAUUGAAUUAUUAUGUUACUUAACUAAAUAUGAUUACAUUUAUGUUAUGACAUUUUUAAAAUAUAUAAAGGUAAUAUAGUAUUUAAGGAUACUUUUUUGACUUUUAAAAUUUUUGAAUUUUAAAUCUAAUAAUUAUAUUUCGACUUUAAAUAUUAAAACUUCUAUUUUAUGUCAAUAUACAUAAAUUUGGAAAGCUGGCCAAACAAAAGCUGACAAAAAAAUCAUAAAUUUGGAAAUCAUAUAUUUUAUUAGCCUACUUUAUUAGAUAAUAUUUAUUUUUUUGAUAAAAUAUUUUUUUGCAAACAUUAACAUAUUUUUAAAAAUGAUUUAUCAUAAACGAUUUUAGGAAAUAUUGGCAUUUUCGAAAAUAGCAAACUUAUUAAUUAUUCUUUUGGUUAUUUAUUUUUUUAAUUUUCGAAAAAAUAAUUAAACAUUUUGUUAACUUAAUAUAGUAUUUAUAUUUUUAUUGAUUUACCUUAUUUGAUAUUGAUUUAUAUUUUAGUUUGAAAUAAAUGAUUUUUUUUUGUAAUAUUAACAUUUUUCAAAAUAGUAAACUUAAAUAAUGAUUUGUCAUACUACGAUUGAUCGUUUAACAUCCUACGUGGACACCCUCAAUGGCUUAUAGCCUCAACUUUUAUAUAGUAUAGAUUGAUUGGUUGUUCCAUUGACAAGAACUCAAAUAUAUUUACAAAGAAUUUUUUAUUUGUUUACAGAAUCAGAUAUGCAUGUAUAUUUAGGUAUUUGUUCAGAUAGGAAUCAGUUCUUUCAGGUAUAAGAAUUUUUUGGUUUUAAAUUAGAUUCUGUUUAAAAAUACUAUAAAUUUAUGGGCGGAAUUCGAGUAGGAUGAAUUCAGUUAUAAUGUGUUAGAACCUAAAAUUAUCCAAAUGACAUAUAUAUUUUAUAAAUGUCAUUAAACAAUUUAUAAAAAAGGGUAAAACACAACAUCUGCAUUGGUGCAUGUAUCAAGCUCUAAUUGUUUUUAUUACAACACACGGGCUUUGAGGCUCAAAGAGAAGAAAAAAUGGGCAGGCCAGGUAAUGUAGUUCCAGAGUCAAGAAUGUAUAUAUUUCCUGAGACAUAUCGAGAAGAGUCAUGAAUGAGAUAGCGAACCAGCGAGGUAAUUCCCGGAUCCACGGUCUGUUGCACCUUUAACGGUAUAAUCCUAUCGGUCACGUUCUUUAGCCAUUCUUUUUGCAUAAGACCUUGCGUGAUCUCUGACUUAAGAAGCCCCGGUGCGAUUGAGUUCACUCUGAUGUUGUAUACACCUAACUCAAUAGCCAUCAUCCUCGUCAUGGUGUCAACACCGCCUUUGGAACAAGCAUAGGCGACUCCACCGAAAAACAAACCUCGGUGGAGACCGGAGAUGGACGAGACGUUUAUCACCGAGCCGCCGCGUUUUGAGUCACGCAUUAGACUGCAGACGUAUUUGGAUACUAACCAAGGUCCGGUUAAGUUGGUUCUGAAGACUGUGUUCCACUCGUCUUCAGUCAGAUCUAAACUCGUCUUGACAUUGCCUCUGAUUCCAGCGUUGUUGAUCAACACAUCUAUCUUUCCGAAGAUGUCCCAAGCUUGUUUGACCGCUUUUUGAAUGGUGGCUGCGUCUGAUGAAACGUCUAGCUCGAUCGGUGCGGCUAAUUGGAUCCCGGUUGAACUUAAGCUGUUGAUUUCAGAGCAAAGAGAUUCGAGACGGUCGACACGGCGAGCUGCUGCGAUAAUCUUACAGCCAGCUUUGCCCAGAUCAAGACAGACUUCUCUUCCUAUACCAGAAGAAGCUCCGGUCAGAAGAACCACUUUGUCUUUAAGCUCGCACCAUGGCUCUAGUUGCUUCAACAUCUGCUUCUCUCCCAUUAAAAAGAAAACAAACAAAUUUGAGAUUAUAAAUGAUAGAAACAGAUGAAAGACAAAUUCCGUGAGCUAUAUAUAUGAUGAAGAAGAUAAGACAAAUUAAAAGUUAAUUCAAGAUAAGAUGAGAUUUUAUCAUGAAGUUAUAGUAAGGAUUGUACUCCCUCUUUUUUUUUUUUUUUUUAAAGAGUGUCAUUUUAGGUUUUUUUUCUUGUUACAAAAAAUGCGUUUUGGAUUUCGAAUGCAAUUUUUACUUAAUUUCAGAUGAAUAGUAAUUGUAAAAUGCAUUGAUCUAAUAAAUAGACUUAUAUAUCUUAAAUAUUAUUAGUCAAUUAGAUAUAAUUAAUGAAAACAUAAAUACAUUUUAAUCAUUUUCUUAAUAUGUAUGAAAAGUGUCUAAUUGAUCACUUAUAAUGAAACGAAGAAAGUAUUCAAAAACAUAUAAAUCUACAUAAAAUGAGAGAGAGAGAGAGAGAGAGAGAGAGAGAGAGAGAGAGAGAGAGAGAGAGAGAGAGAGAGAUUUGUCUCACCGUGGUUUGAUGACUGUUCAUAUUACUUUCUCUGGUGUUUGUUCAGUGAAGAAGUAGAAGGCCAUAACACAUUUAUAAAGCCCUAGGGAGAGGUUGGUUGGUCCGGAUAUACCUUAUGUAUUUAGCAUUAAUUUUUACUAGAGCUUAAUCCGCACGCCCGUAUAUUGGUUCUUACGUUUUUAUAAAUUGAUAUUUUUUUUCAUGAUUAGUAUUAUAUAUUUUAGAUGUGUCACCAUAUGACUAAUUGCAAUCAAAAGAUCCGGACUGAAUCGGGUAAUAUAGUUAUUUUUGGUACAAGUAUUUCGAAUCCAUUCCAAAUACAUUAGUUAUUUGGAUAUUUUUAAGUUUGUAUACAUCAAAACCAACCAUCUAAACUCUGUAGGACCCAACUCAAAACUCACACAUAAACUUUUAAAUCCAAACGGGGCCUAAUUACAAAAUCCCAAAAAAAAUCUGAUACCCGAAAGAAACAACCCGUACCUGAAUGUCCAUGCCUAACUGAUUCUGUAAACAAAUAAAAAAACUCUUUCUGUGUGUUUGGCUAAAUUAAGUAAAAUAGAAAGCUCUUUAAUUUAGUAAAAAAGUUAUAUGGUCUGAAAAAUUAAGUGACAAUAUAUGUAAUGUGUUUUUAUUAUUUUGAUUUAAGUUAUUAUUUUGUUCACAUUAACUUUGUCUUUGAAUUAUGUGUUUGGCUACGUAAUUUCCCACCGAUUGAAACUAAGAUAAAAAAUAGUAAAAUAGUAAAUAAAAAUUUUAACCAUAUGCAAAACCCGGUUAUUUUACAUGAUUUUUAUAAUUGGUACAAAGUUAAUUUUGAUUAAAACUAAAAAUUUUCAAUAUUAUUAUUAUGGUUAUGUAACUAAUGAUGUAAUGUAUUAUUAAUGUAAUAUAAUUAAUGAAGUUGUUAAAGUUAGUGAAAAUGGAAUGAUAAUUAAUGUAUUAACUUGUUGGAAAAAAGUUAGUUCUAUUUGUACUUCAGUUUUAAUAACAUACUAGGUUAAGACCCGCGCCUUGCGCGGGAUGAACAUUAUAUAUAAAAAUAAUUUUAUGUAUUAAAUAUUUUUACAUAUUAUGAAAUAAUAAAUAUAUAUUGAAUAAAUUAAAGUCAGUAACUAUUAAAUAUAUAAUUAAAUUGGUCUGAAAAUAUAAAUCAAUUUUAUUAAUCCAAUUUUGUUUUUAAUAUUUGAUAGGAUAUGUAAUUAAAUUUAAAUGAUACUAACAUACAUAGUAUAUUUUAGUAUAUUUUUAAUAUUAAUGUCUAUUAAAUGAUGAUUUCUACUCAUAUAAUUUAUUUUUAUCAUUUGUAUCUUUUAUAGAAAAAUAUUUAAAUUACUGAUAACAAAAUUUUCAUUGUGCAAUUAAUAGUUUUAAUAAUUUAUAAUUUAAAAAAAUAAGUUGUCAAUGUUCGUUCAAAACUUUUACCAAAAUAUUGUUCAAAGUAAAUUUUGAAACUAAAAGAUUUAUGUAUUUUAUAUGGUUUAUAGUUUAAUUUAAAACGAUAUAUAUAUAUAUAUCAAUCUUAAUAAUUAAUUAAAUUAUACUUCUUACUUAUAUAAUUUUGUAAUCAUUUGAAUGUGAGACUUUUAACAGUUUUAGUAAUUUAUAGUCGUUUUUCGAAAUUCAAAAUAUAACGUUUACAGAAAAAUCUAAAAUAUUUAUUAUAUGGUUAUUGUGGUUGUUUAAUUUAUUUAAUAGUUUAAAAUUAAACCAAUAUGAUAGAACAUACACUAAUUUUUAUCAAAUCUUUAUUAUUCAAAAUCAUUAAUUGUCAUAUAUAAUUUAGCCACAUUAGGCAAUUUCGUAAAUUUUAUUUAAGGAAAUAAUGAAGUACAUUAAUAAUGAAUUUAUUGUUAGUUUAAUAAAAAAACUUAUUAUAUAAUUAGAUGGACCAACAUAUUUCUCUAAUGAUUCUAAGAAUCAUCCUAAUGAUGACAUGUGGCUACAAAAAGAAGUUGUAAUGCUUCUCAAAUAAUAUAUAGAGGACUAGAGAUUGACCCGCACACCCCCGCACAUGUAUUGCUUCUUACAUUUUUAUACAUUUAUGUUUUUUUUUUCAUAAUUAGUGCUAUAUAUUUUAGAUGUGUCGUAAUAUAACUAAUUGCAUUCAAAAAACAUGGAACAAAUCAGGUAAUAUUAUUAUUUUUGGUACAAAUAUCCUAACCCAUUUCAGAUAUAUUUGUUAUUUAGAUAUUUUUAGGUUCCUAUACAUCAUAACCGAACUCAUCCAGACCUAGAAGAACCCAACUCAAAACCCACACUUAAAUUUAUAAUAUUCAAGUGGGCCUAAUUUAUAAAAAAACAAUACCCGAAAAUAACAAUCCGUAUCUAAAUGGAUAUCCAAUAUUCAUGUCUAACUAAUUUUAUAAACUAAUAAACAUGACUCUUUCUAUGUCUUUGGCUAAAUUAAGUGAAAUAAAAAGAAUUUUUUUAUUUAGUAAAAUAAUUAUAUAGAGUGAAAAAUUAAAGGAUAAUAAAUGUAAUACAUUUUUAUUAUUUUAAUUUAAGUUAUUAUUUUAUUCACAAAAAAAUAUAUUUGAAUUAUGUUUUUGGCUAUAUAAUUUUCCACCGAUUGAAACUAAAUAUGAAAAAAAUGGUAAAACAAAGUAAACCAAACUUUUAAUCAUAUGCAAAACCUUGUGGUUUAUGGUUGGUAACGUAAGUUAUACAAAGUUGGAUAGUGGUUUUUUUUUUUUGAACUACUGUUGGAUAGUGGUUAACGCCAACGUUUUCCACAUUAGAAACUCAGUGGUCAAUGAUACUUGGAAGAGUAUGGGCCCAGCGAGUCUUGAGUACGCCAAGUGGGGUUCAACCCAAAAGACUACUUCCAAAGAUGAGUUAUUUCCCAAGUCAGAUGAUCAUUUCGGUGGAAUCUAUGGUGAUAAUACAGAGUGGGAGACUUUGGAAUGGAACGUCAUGAAUGAUUAUAAAAAAAAAGAGAGAUGGAGAUACAUCUAAUGUUUGGGGUUAUUGGUUUCAAAGCAAAAGAAUUCCAGUGCCAUGAAUAGUUACAACAAAGCAUGUUAUCUCCUGCAGCGGGAGUGUUUGGAACGGAUUGCAAUGUAACAGAUGAAUCGUGUCCAAUGAUCUUUUUAGAAAAAAAAAACAUUUACUCAUAAGAAUUGAGAGCCGUAAGAAAGAUCUUAUAAAACCAAGAACGAAGUAGAGGAAAACUAACGAAUCAGCCUAUCCUACGGAUGGGUUAAGAAGCAUCGUGUUACUGAUGUCUAUGUUAAAAAUUCUUAUUAACAACAUGUUUGAUGUAAUUUUUGAUUCAUGUAAUAUGUUACAUUGAUUUGAUAUCAACAAAGUUGAGAUGUUAUAAGAAAAACAUAUGCAAAAACUAAUUAUUUUACAUUUUUUAUUUUAUGACUGGCACAAAGUUAAUGUUGAUUAACUAAUAAAUAAAGAUCUGCACUAUUAUUAUUAUGGUAAUAUCAUUAAUGAUGUGAUGUAUUGUUAAGCUUAUAUAAUUAAUGAAAUUGUUAAACUUUUUGAAAUAUGAAAAGAAAAUUAAUGUAAUUAUAUCAAUGAAAUUACUAAAAGAACACCAUAUUUCUUUUUUUUAUAAUGCUAUCCAUGUUUCUAAAUAAUUCUAAUUUAUUAUGCUAUCCAUGUAUCCAAACAGUACUAAAAGGUACUUCAGUUUUAAUAAUGUAAAUUUAAAAUCAUAAAAUUAAAUUAAAAAGUCUAAAAAAUGGUUGUAGAAACCUUUUCUAAAUCAUUAUAUAAUAAGGUAUAGACAAAAACAAUGUGUAAUAAUAAUUUUUCAUUUAAUUUUCAAUUUUAUAAAUUUCUACAGUCGCAUUCCAACCAAUCAUUCAAAACAUGCUUUCAAGAUACACAACUGAUUUUGUUUUUUUUAAUAAUGCAACUGAUUUUGUGUCAUAACCAAAAUAAUUAGGUUUUUCUAAUAUUUUAUUAUGGUAAAUCUUGUUUUUCACUGUUUUAUUUUCACUUAUGUAAUAAUAAUUUUCCAUUUAAUUCUCAAUGUUAUAAAUUAUUUAAAUUUUAGUUAUUUAACAAAUAUGUUAUGAAAUAUUUCACUCUACUAAAACUAUUAGAGAUGAUUACCUAUUACCAAGUAAUAGUAUUUUUAAACAUUGAAUAAUUUGUUAUUACAAACUACGAAAACUAUUACAGAUGAUUUCACAACUGAUAAUUCUAUAUGUCUUAUAAGAUAUCAUAUUUAUCGUAGAGUCAUCCAAUCCUAUGGAAUCUUCGUUUGACAGUAUGAUCUACACUACACUAUAGAUCUCUUGUAAAUCAUGUUUUCUCUCAGCCCAGACUUCCUAAUAUACAAAUAUUAAUGAACCAUUUGCUAAACAACAAAACAAAAGGUUCUCGUACCUAAUAAUAGUAUUAUAAAUUAUUUUUAAUCACGAGUUCCACAUGGGCGAUGAGAUGAUAAUGACAAGAUAUUUGAGUGGACUCCACACCGCCACGCUUUCAAAUUUAGACUUCGAAUGAUACGAACCAUCCCGCUCUACACCACAGUUAACAGUAACAAAAAUCUCUACAUAUAUCAUAUAUCUAUACGUUUUUAUAAUUGUUAAAACCGUAUCUCAGUUAAACCGCUUGUCCCGCACCGCUCAAACCACAGUUACCAUUCAGAGCAACUAAAACAUUGUGAAUUAGUAUAUAUUAAUACCUAGGCAAAGACUCCUAUUCAUAUGAUUUUAUGAUCAUAAAAGUCCAAUAUUGGUUGAGGAACAGGUUAUCAUUUUAGAAUGUGAGAUACUCUCUAAUAUUGGUUGAAUUGUAACGGUAGAAAAUUUACUUUAAAAUUUAGUCUAUAAGAUUUUUUGAUUUACCUUUAAGAGAUGUAACUUUCAAAUUUCCUACAAACAAAAAGAUUGAGCUUUAGAAAAUAAGAUUUUUACAGUUAUUUUUUUUUGUUUUUUUUUUGUUGUAGCUUUAAUUUUUUGGUUGUAGCUUUAAAAACUAAUAUAAAGCAUGAUUUGUGAUUUUUAAGCCCGUAGAUAAAAAUUAAAGCUAAAAUCACUUGCUACACCCCAACCAAUCACCCCAAUUAUUGAUCAUGUAUUAAUAAGUAAAUGAUUUAUUUCCUUUAAAAUAAAAUAAGAUUAAGACUAGAGGUCGUUAUCUCAACUAGAAAUGACAUUGGCUAUUGCAUCAACCAUUGUCAUGACUAAUAAAUAAAUCUAAUAUUACAUAUUGUAGUUUCGGAUCUAAAGCAAUUACGGGUAUCAGCCCUAAAAUUGCUGGUGUUUAAAUUUUUUUGUUUGUUUGAAUUGAAUGUUAAAUUGAAUUCAAAACGAAAAAUGUACUUUGCUUUACAUCAAGUGUAACAUUUCUAAAAUUUUCAGAGAAUAAAAUCUAUCAUCUCCUAACUUGUUUUAUCUUGUGCUGAACCAAUAUACCAUUCCACCUUCAAACUAUUUUACUCCCUUCUUCCUUAUGAUAGAAAAUUUAUUCCUCAUGUUUUUGUCAAUCAUUUUGAUUAACAAAGUUGCAGGUGAAGGAGACUCUCCAUGUCUUCUUCUGUUUCUCUCCCUCCAAAUAGUGUGGAUUGCAGUUUGAAGAACAUAUCUCACUAUAAAGAGCUUGAGUUUCCCUUGGGUAUGAUCCAAAGCUAUCCUGAUUACUCUCCUCCAAUUCGAUGUGUAAUGAUUCUCCAGCACUCCCUUCAUCAAAACUUCCCAUAUCUGAGCAUAGUAUGGGCACUCAAAGAAUAAAUGCGAGAUGGACUCAACCGUAUUCUGGCAAAGCACACAAGCAGUGUCAACAUUCCCACUCCAUCUACUCAUUCUUUCACAUGUUGGAAGUAUGUCAUGCAAGGCAGUCCAUAGCAUAAAUGAGAAUUUUGGAGUAGCAUAUUUGAACCAAACUGCCUUGUACCAAUAACAACUCUGACGCUUCUCUUUGAUAACUUCCCAUGUUUCUUUCACCGAGAAAGAGUUUUUGUAAUCUCCUUUUCCAUUCUUCAAUAAUGAUAUGUCUUCCUCCUCAACUAUAUUAGCUUUAUAUCUCUCUAUCUCCAUCUCAACUCUAUUAAAGAUGGGAGCUCGAUGAUGUCUCCUUCUAUGUUUUCUACAGACCUUGACAUUUGCAUUUACUGAGAUUCCCAUAUCAAUAUGACCUCUAUCUUGUAUAAUAUCUUUCAGACAUCCCAAAGAUGACCAAGAGUCAUACCAGAACGAAGCCUUUUGCCGUUUUUCACUUCCACCCGAUAUAGCUUCUUUGCAACUUCUCUACAUUUUAGAAUUUUCUUCCACACAUCCAAGACCAUGUCUAUGUCGUUUCUUUGAUUGACCACAAUGAUGCUUUCCUUAUCAAAUACACCUUUAUCCAAUUAACCCAAAGAGUAUUAGCCGAUAGAAUCCUCCACACUAGCUUCAAACUGCAUACCAAAUUCACAUCCUUCAGUCGUCUUACUCCUAACCCACCUUCUUGUUUGGGUUUACAAACAUCUACCCAAGAAACUAGCCUUUCGCCCAUUUAGCUCUGAUCCAGACCAUAAGAAAGUCGAACAUAGUUUUUCAACUUCUUUGAUGCAAUAACUUCGGAGUCUAAAAGCCGCCAUCCAGAAAUUAGCCAAACUUGUAAUUACAAAGUUGAUCAACUGCAGUCGUCCAGCGUAUGACAGAAAUAUGUUCAUCCAGGAACUGAUCCUUUUUCUGAUCUUUUCAGUCAGAGGGAGAAAAUCUAAAACUGUCAUACUCUUUGUUAGCAGAGGGAGUCCUAGAUAGCGUACCGGCAGAGAUCCAGCUGCAAAUGGAAAUUGACGAAGAAUGUCUUCUUGAUUUUGACUUGAGAUACCCGCCAUGAACAACGUAGACUUCUCCAAACUUAUCUUAAGCCCAGUCAUUUUAUCAAACUUCUGAAAUACUCUUAAAAUCCCCUCCACAGAACUCUUCUUCCCAUCAGAAAAAACCAUCAAAUCGUCAGCAAAACAUAGAUGGGUAAGGUCUAUGUUCUUGCACCUCGGGUGAUAUCCUAUCUCCUCCUUCUUUGCUGCUGUGUCUAACAUCUUCGACAAUACAUUCAUACUAAUAACAAAUAAGUAUGGAGACAGUGAGCACCCCUGCCUCAACCCUCUUGCACUUUGAAAAUACCAUGCUAGCUCCCCAUUUAUUUGCACUGAGAAUGAAGCCGUCGUGAUGCAAAGUGAGAUCCAAUGUACAGCGUCUUUAGAAGGAAACACCAUUGAACUGAAUCAAAAGCUUUUGAUAUGUCAAUUUUUAUUGCACAACGAGAUGAGAUAGAAUCCUUAUGAUAAUCUUUUACCAGCUCUGUGGCAAGUAGCACGUUCUCCAUAAGCAAUCUUUCUUUGAUAAAUGCAGAUUGGUUUACUGAAAUACAUUUCGGCAGUAAUAAUCUUCAGUCUAUUCGCAAUAAGCUUCGAGAUUACCUUAUAUAUUACAUUGCAACAUGAGAUUGGCCGGUAAUCCUUCAUCUCCUUUGCCUCUUCUUUCUUUGGUAUUAAAGCUAGGAUUGUCGAGUUUAAUCCUUUUGGUAAGAACCCUUUCAAGAAGAAAGAUUGAACAGCCACUGUAACAUCAUCUCCUAUCACCAACCACGACUCCUUGAAGAAUUCUGAGGUUUUAAAAAAAUUAAGUUUAUCCAACCAAAAAACUAUGUAAAAAUUUGGGUCUGUCAUGAAUAUUUUAUUCAAAAUUAAUUGGCAGUAAAUGAUAUAGUAAGAUUUCAUCGUUUAGUAACAUUCUUUUUACGUUCAUUUAUAGGCAAUUAUGGGAACAACAUCUACAAAGUCAUCCAUCAUUAGGUAGCUCUAAUACCAUAUAAGUUUUUGGAUUUUCAAUCUAAAACUAAUUGGCUGUAAGUUGUCGGCUCAAAUUUCUUGUAUAUUACGCAUGUUCCAUCAAAACUCAUGAUGUCAAAGCUUAAAUAUUUGCACAGACUCUCGAAAUAAUAGUCUAUAUAACCAUUAAUCUAGAUAAUAUCUCAACUCUAUAAAUCAAAUUUGGUCAGACCAACCGAACCAUUUAGAUCCGACUGAUUUAAGAAAAAUAUUUGAUAGGUUACUCGACUUAAACUCGCUAUCUGACUCGUACUCGCCUUGAAAAUUCAAGUAUUCGGUGUUUUCAAGGCAAGUAACAAGUCGACAAUUUUCAUUACUUGCAAGACCAAGUUAAGUGUCAAGUAUCAUUAUUAUUUUUAUUACUUGACUCGUUACUUGACCCAUUACUUGCUAUUUAUUACAUGAUCUGUUAAAUAAUUGUUUAUAUAUGUCUUUUUACUUGCAUUUAGAAUUAGACAUAAAUACUCAUUUAUCUUCUUAUACUUGUUACUUGUUUCGUAUCCGUCUUUAUUUUUAAAUUCUUGCCGUCAUCUAGUGAACUAUUUUAUAGUAACCAAUAUUAAAAAAAUUAGCUAUAUGGCUUGUUAUUACAUGUUAUUUGCUUAGAGAAGAUUUUUUUGUCAUUGUGAAAAUUAUAUAAUGCUUAUAUAUCGAAAUAUUCAUAUAUUUUUAUUUGUCUCCUUUAUAAUAUAAACAAAUAUUUGGUUUAAAGGAAUUCACAUGUUAGUUUAAGUAGAAUACACAAAACAAACUUUCAUGUUUAUUUCUAACAGAGUAUUAUUUAGUAAGUAGUUUUUAAAUAAUCAGAAAACUCGUAAAUAGUUCACAAGUACUCGUAAAUAGUAACUAAUAAAGCAAGAUAAAUAACUUGUAAGUAAUUUAUUUUUGAUCAAGUAUUCAAACUGGUAAGUAUUCGUUUUUAACAAGUCAAGUACAAGUCGAAAAUUUUAUUACUUGUAUAAGGCAAGUUAAGUAGCAAGUACACGCAAAAUAGUGAAUACUCGCCUUCUGCCCAGCCCUAAUCUCAACCAUUGUUUUUAUUACAACACACAAGAUUUGAGGCUCAAAGACAAGAAAAAAUGGGCAGGCCAGGUAUUGUACCUCCAGAGUCAAGAAUGUAUAUAUUUCCUGAGACAUAUCGAGAAGAGUCAUGAAUGAGAUAGCGAACCAGCGAGGUAAUUCCCGGAUCCACGGUCUGCUGCACCUUUAACGGUGUAGUCCUCUCGGUCACUUUCUUAAGCCACUCUUUUUGCAGUAGACCUUGAGUGAUCUCUGACUUAAGAAUCCCCGGUGCGAUCGAGUUCACUCUUAUAUUGUACACACCUAACUCAAUAGCCAUCAUCUUUGUCAUGAUGUCAACACCGCUUUUAGAACAAGAAUAUGCGACUCCACCGGGUAACAUACCGCGGUGGAGACCGGCGAUGGACGAGAUGUUUAUCACCGAGCCACCGCUUUUAGCGUCCCUCAUUAAACUGCAGACGUAUUUGGAUACUAACCAAGCUCCGGUUAAGUUGGUUCUGAAGACUCUGUCCCACUCGUCUUCAGACAAGUGCAAACACGUCUUGACAUUGCCUCUGAUUCCAGCGUUGUUGAUCAACACAUCUAUCUUUCCAAAGAUGUCCCAAGCUUGUUUGACCGCUUUCUGAAUGGUGGCUGCGUCUGAUGAAACGUCUAGCUCGA
rnacentral:lncRNA from 1 species